rnacentral:rRNA from 1 species
UACAGAGGUCUCAAGCGUUGUUCGGAUUCAUUGGGCGUACAGGGAGCGUAGGCGGUUGGAUAAGCCCUCCGUGAAAUCUCCAGGCUUAACCUGGAAAGUGCAGAGGGGACUGUUCAGCUAGAGGAUGGGAGAGGAGCGCGGAAUUCCCGGUGUAGCGGUGAAAUGCGUAGAGAUCGGGAGGAAGGCCGGUGGCGAAGGCGGCGCUCUGGAACAUUUCUGACGCUGAGGCUCGGAAAGCGUGGGGAGCAAACAGG